rnacentral:lncRNA from 1 species
UUUUUUUUGUGUUUUUUGUUUUCCUUGUUAAAUUUUUUCUUUUCUAGGUAGUUUUUUUUUGUGUCUUGUGUACAGUUUUGCAUGUUUAUCUUGAUUUUUGGAGUUUGUUUAGGUUGUAGAUGUGUCUUUCACUUCAUUGAUACUAUGAUUUGUUUAAAUCCUUGCUUUUCUUUGCUUGGAAAGAUGAUUAUGAUGUUUAAGAGGUUGAUUGAUUGUGAUAGAAUUACCUUGUGUGAGAUUUGAGCCACUUGAUAUUAUUUCUUGUGUGU